UACACAACUGGAAUUAACUGUAUCCCAACUGUCUAGAAUUCUUUCGGUAUAGGUUUUAAACAGAGGUUCAUACAGAGUCAAAGAUCCUACCUGCGGCUGGCUUAGCAAGAGAAGGAACUAGCCAUACACCUGAGUUCCCCUUACGGAGUCUUCUGUUUUCUCAGGAGGUGGGCACAGCUGGGUGGUGUUGCUCUAUGGUAGAACAACAUGUACCUCAGAAUGCCAUCAUGAGGAUUAAGAUGCAGCCUAUACACCAAGAAGCUGUCUUCAGGACACCUCCAGGACAAAAACCAGGAAUGCCUACAAGGGGUACUGCAGGAAAACGGGAAGAGAGAAGUGCUGGGAAUGCAGGUAUGGUGGCAAGACUCUGACUCCAAAUAGUAAUAAUAACGUACAAAACUGGUAAAUGUCAGGAGAAUUUAAGUAAACUAGAUAUUUAAAAAUAAUGGCACCAUAUUACACUAUUACACUACAUACAGAAUUACCCAAAGUCUCUUUUUUUAUUCAGAUAAAAAGAGUUUACAGCAAUCUGAGGUAAUCACAAAAUACAAUCCUUUGGACAUUUUCAGCAAGAGGAAAUUUUAGUUGGAGAGUUUCUGGAUCACCUUGCUCUAAAUCUUAUGAAUUUUAUUUUCCUUUAUUAUAACUGGUAGCUAUUUAUUGAAUGGGAUAAUUUCCAUUAGAUCAUUUACUCAUUACUUUUUGCUUUUCAUAAAUCUAAAUUCUUUGAAACUAGUUCUUAGGACAAAUUGAUGCACAUUGAAUUUUUCUCUCCAUUUCUCAGUUAUAUUUCUGUUCAUGUUUAUUAUGCGAUAAAAAGUGAUUCUAAAACAGCACAGUGCCUCAUAAGAGAAAGAAACUUGUAAGUUAGCACAGAAGUGGAUGAACACUGACGCAUUCUUGGUCUCAUCCACCACCCUUGAGAGGAUAAACUCCCAUGCUUCCAAGUCACGCGGCUGUCCAGGUGUCCACAUGCGCUCUCUGCGCGAGCAGCCAACCGGCUCUCGUGUGCCUCUGAGACGCUCCUGAACAGCAGGCGCUGCGCUGGCCUCUCUGUCACCCGCAGGAA
rnacentral:lncRNA from 1 species